CGAAACAGUGUGUGACUUAAGGUAUAGUUUAUUUGCAACAAAACUAUGUACUUCCUACAUAAAAAAAGGGAAUAUCUUGAUGACAAUAACACUAUUACUGUGUAUAUGCGUUACACGUUUUCAAAAUGUUGCAGAUAACAUUUAAACAUGACAUAUAUCAUAUGUUUUAAUGGAAGGAAAACCGCCAAAGGAUUCACAAUAAAACAUGUGCAUUACCGCCACCAACUGGUACUGCAUCGCAACAUGUUACAAUCAGCUUUCCUGGAUCUCCCCUUAUCCUGCUGCCAAACCAAGCCUGGUUCGCCUGUGAACGCAAUCAUUCUGUGGCCAGUUAUGGAAAAACUCUACAGUGAAGAGGCUGCAAGAAACGUGAUGGAUGAAGGACCGGUUGAAUAUUCUUCUGCCGGGAUGUCAACAGAGUAUAAAUAUAUUGGACAUGACCGUGGACAUGGAAGAAAUAGACAACCCACCAAUCAAUUUUGUCCUGCCAUCUAGACAAUAAAAAAGGUACCACUAGAUGGUGCCGAGGCUACAGCAACCGUUCGACGUCAUCACCAAAGAUUGCAGUGUAAAAGUAUACGGCAAGUUUAUGCACAAUAUAUAUAAUAGAGAGCGUCUGAAUUUCUGGUUGUAUUAAAUACCACCAGUAUUUCUGAGAUGCAAAUGUUUAUGAAACCUGGUUUAUAAUAACUCCAAGGAGAGGUCUCAUAAUUAAAAUAAUAAAUGAGAAGAAUGGUGUGAAAUAUGGUAAAAUGGGUUAGUUGGAAAUGAGGUGGAGGAUAUUGAAGUUAUUAAGAAUUAUUAAAAAAAAUUGGUGAGUGACAGUGUGGAAUGUGGGGAAUGGAACGGCAGCCGGCAUUUAGUAGGACUGGAGGUAGAGGAUCUACUUGGAAGGUUCAGGGUUUGGAUUUGUGUUCAGAGAACUACAUCCUGAUAAACCUAAUGAAUUUGUCGUACUACAGAAAUCAAGGAGAGGGCGGCAAAACCAAAACAUACGACUAAAAUUAAAGUAAAAAGAAAA